AGAGAGGAGAGGAGGUGGGAGGCAGAAUUAAGUGUGACCUUUCAUGCAAAAAAGAGAGAGGAGAGGAGAUGAGAGGGCAGUAUGAAGCUCAAGAUCUCGUGCAAAAGUCUUUUUGUGUGAGGAGAUGAGGAAAGAAGCUAAAAAGCUGAAUCGGGAAAUGUAGUGAGAAGAAGAGAAGAUGGAAGCGCAAUAUAAAGUGAAAACAUAUCAUUAAUUGACUUA